rnacentral:rRNA from 1 species
CCUACGGGUGGCAGCAGUGGGGGAUAUUGCACAAUGGGGGGAACCCUGAUGCAGCGACGCCGCGUGGGUGAAGGAGCGUUUCGGCGCGUAAAGCCCUAUCGGCAGGGAAGAAGGAGGACGGUACCUGACUAAGAAGCCCCGGCUAACUACGUGCCAGCAGCCGCGGUAAUACGUAGGGGGCAAGCGUUAUCCGGAUUUACUGGGUGUAAGGGGGGCGCAGACGGCAGCGCAAGCCAGGAGUGAAUGCCCGGGGCCCAACCCCCGGACUGCUCUGGAAACUGUACGGCUGGAGUGCAGGAGAGGUAAGUGGAAUUCCUAGUGUAGCGGUGAAAUGCGUAGAUAUUAGGAGGAACACCAGUGGCGAAGGCGGCUUACUGGACUGUAACUGACGUUGAGGCUCGAAAGCGUGGGGAGCAAACAGGAUUAGAUACCCGGGUAGUC